rnacentral:lncRNA from 10 species
GGAUCGCACGCACGCGCGCGCGCACGCCCAGCCGUGUCCGCGGAAAACGGAGGGCGCUGCGCCAAUAGAAAUAGAUAUGAUUGUAGGAAAAGACCGGGAAGGUUUCUUUACCAACGGUUUGACUCUUGGCGCGAAGAAAUGCUCAGUGAUCAGAGAUAGUCUAUACGUCGAUGGUGACUGCACAAUGGACAUCCGGACAAAGAGUCAAGGUGGGGAGCCAACAUACAAUGUGGCUGUCGGCAGAGCUGGUAGAGUCUUGGUCUUUGUAAUGGGAAAAGAAGGGGUCCAUGGAGGCGGAUUGAAUAAGAAGGCAUACUCAAUGGCAAAAUACUUGAGAGACUCUGGGUUCUAGCUGCUAGGCAGACUGUUAAGUAUUAGGGGAAAAUUGCUCUUAAACUUUCCUAGCUAUAAGCUUAAGUCUUAAUUCUGGAAAUUUUAUUAGCAAUGCAGGGUGAUGGGGUAUGAACCUGUGUCUCCUUUGUAUCCCUCUGUUGGUGGGGAAAGGUGUCUUUCUUUCUGCCCUCCCCCCCCAAAAUAAUUCUGUUCACUUUUGUUU